rnacentral:rRNA from 1 species
UACGAAGGGGGCUAGCGUUGCUCGGAAUCACUGGGCGUAAAGGGCGCGUAGGCGGAUCUUUAAGUCGGGGGUGAAAGCCUGUGGCUCAACCACAGAAUUGCCUUCGAUACUGGGGAUCUCGAGACCGGAAGAGGUGAGUGGAACUGCGAGUGUAGAGGUGAAAUUCGUAGAUAUCGUAAGGAAGACCAGUGGCGAAGGCGGGUCUCUGGACAGUUCCUGACGCUGAGACACGAAGGCCAGGGGAGCAAACGGG